rnacentral:lncRNA from 1 species
UAUGGUCUACUAUUUGGUUUAGAAGUCACCUAUAUGAUUUUCUGUGCUGCUGGUGGGGAAUAUUAAGGUUUUGUUGACUUGGGUGGCACCCAGGUGAAGGGCGUGGCCCUAGCCUUAACUCGUCUGUUUUGGCCCAGAGAAUAGAAUGUUCCCCAGACAGUAACCACAUCGUGAAUAGUAGAGUACCAGUUCCUCAAGACAGUCACCCAUGGGUUCGACGAACAGUUAAAUAGCUCCGGAGGCAACCACCAUACAUCAAACUUCCACCUGACGCCUCCCGAAGAAGAUCUGGAGCUGUGGAUAACCUAGGACAGCACCGGAAGAAGCCUUCACACCACAAGCUAAGUUUUUAAUAGAAUCUUUUACUUGCCUCUCAGCAGAGACAGUUUUUUUUUAUAUAAAUAUAAAGUAACUUCACAAUGACUAGAAUGUAGAUCCUGAAUUUAUAACCAAAGAAAUGAGAAAAUAAAGCAUUUAUACCGAAA